ensembl:lncRNA
AGAUUCACUGACAGCUGGAGUGUGUACCAAGCUGGUCUAGUUACCUGUUUGGUGGAUCACUGGAUUCAGCAGAGUGUUUGAAAAGUUAAGGCCUGGGGAAAGUUAAUAAGAAGAUUCGAUCAGCUGGCAAACCACCCCCCCACCACCCCCACCUUCCUCGACGCCAUCCUCUUAUCCCAGCCAUUGUGUUGCUGUGACUCACUGACAUAGUUGGAUGCUGAGCUCCAAACACCUGGAAACUGGCAAACGUGAGCUUAAGAUUGUCGGAGGGGAACCGGAUGGCGUUGACAAGGCAACGGGAGCUCAUUAUCUCGUCGUCUAUGCUGGUCCACGGUGCGCCAUUGAUGGGUGCCAGAGGAGAGUUUCGAGCAGACAGAUGGGGUUGAACUCUGCAUUUCACGCAAAAGACGAGUGAGCUGGGAUAACAGCGUCCAC